GACAGCAGUCGCCGCGGGAAUACGUAGGUGGCAAGCGUUGUCCGGAAUUAUUGGGCGUAAAGGGCUCGCAGGCGGUUUCUUAAGUCUGAUGUGAAAGCCCCCGGCUCAACCGGGGAGGGUCAUUGGAAACUGGGAAACUUGAGUGCAGAAGAGGAGAGUGGAAUUCCACGUGUAGCGGUGAAAUGCGUAGAGAUGUGGAGGAACACCAGUGGCGAAGGCGGCUCUCUGGUCUGUAACUGACGCUGAGGAGCGAAAGCGUGGGGAGCGAAUAGGAUUAGAUACCCGUGUAGUCCCUGUCUCUUAUAA
rnacentral:rRNA from 1 species